CGUCUGCUGCAGAGAGAGUGGACCAGGAGAGCUCAGAGGUUCGACGUGGUCAGUCUGCCCAUCAAACACAGCUGGACUCCAUAUUUAUGCUGCUGGAGGACAACAUCAUCACGUUUGUGAAGAACGAGCUGAAGAAGAUCCAGAAGCUUCUGAGUCCAGAUUACCCAGAAUGCUUAGAGAGUCAAAGGGA